AUGGUGACGAGGAGGUGCAUUGGUUUCGAUUCCACCAAGUCAAGACAACUGAGGGACAAGUUCGAUGCGCUUUUCUCAGGCUUGUUCUCCUUUCCAAUAUAUUUCCCAGGGACACCAUUUUACCGAUGCAUGCAGGCCAGGAAAAAUGUGCAGAAGAUACUACGGGAUACGUUGGCGGAGAGGUUAAGUACACCAGGGAAGAAACAUGGCGACCUCCUUGACGUAAUUGUCCAAGAGCUGCAGGGUGAAGGGCCAUUAAUAAGUGAGAGUUUUGCUGUUGAUUUGGUCUCCACGUUGUUGUUCUCCAGCGUCUUCACGUUAUCAGGAAUAAUCGCUGUAGCAUUCAAAUCACUCCAUGACAACCCGGACGUUGUCCAUGCCCUCCAGAAAGAGAACCCAGCUAUGCUCAAGGAUCGAAAGGGUGGGUGCUCUGGGCUCACAUGGGAGGAGUACAAGUCAUUAACAUUCACUAAUCAGGUGACCAAUGAGAUUAUUCGAAUAAGCAAUGCCGUAGUUGGAAUAUUCAGAAGAACUCUCACCGAUGUACAAGUCAACGGCUACACAAUUCCAGCCGGGUGGCAGGUCAUUGUGAACCCCAUGGCAGUUCAUCUCAACGAAGAAUUGUUCGAAGACCCACUAAAAUUUAACCCAUGGAGGUGGCUGGAUGAGUCAAAGCGCAACACAAUGUUGAAGAAUUUCUUGCCAUUCGGAGCAGGCAUCAGGGCAUGUCCUGCCGCAGAGUUUGUCAAGCUGUUUGUAACACUUACCCUCCAUAUUUUGGUGAUGGAGUAUAGGUGCAUACUUUUUGCAGCUCAAAGCAUGUUGCCUUCAAUUAGAUCAUGCACCGUGCUUGUAGAUAUGCAGUUUGUAAUUUUACCUUUCUACACAGAUGGGAAGAAAUCAAAGGAGCUGAUGCAUUUCGUAGCGCGGAUGUUAUGUUCCCACUGGGCUAUCACAUUCGACUUAGAACACAGGACGACAAAAUUAAUUGAUUCAGAUACCAAUUGGAACGCUUAUCAGACUUCUCGGGAUGUCAGGGUUUAA
rnacentral:rRNA from 1 species